rnacentral:lncRNA from 1 species
AGAUGCCACUCCCUUCUUGUGAGAAGUAGGAGUAGGGCUGAGAAAGGAUUUAGCCUUCCUUCUAGCCUUAAUUUUUCCAGUGGAAACCUAGAUCCUUCUCUCCCCACUACCACCUCCUAGGCGACCUUACCCGCCUGCAGAUGUCUUCAACAGUAGAGAGUCCUAGUGAGCCUGGGGCCCCAUCUAGUGCCAUACCCCACUUUGAUGGUCCUGUUAAUGCCCUCCCACAUUGUAGUUAGGGUUUAGCUGAGAAGUGGGGUAUAAGGCAGACCCCCUGUGCUGAGGAUUGAUCCACAUUGAUCCCUCAGGUCUUGGGGGCCUGGGAGGAAGCAGAUUCCUUUACCACACUUCGUUGUUCCCUCUGGCUUGUGGGGGCACGGCUGUGCUCCAUGUGGCAAGGUGGAAGGCAUGGACGUGUGGAGGAGGCGCUGGAGCUGAAGGAAUGGACGAGCCCUGGGAGGAGGGCAGAAGGCUACGCAGGGCUGAGGAUGAAGAUGCAGCCCCUGGAUGGUCCCAGACUCUCAGGACAUGCCCAGCUCAGGGGCUUCGAGCCACAGGCCUGGCCUCAUAUGGCAUGAGGGG